CCCCCCCCCUCCCCCCGCCCCCCGCCCCCAGCAGAACGCACGUAGAGUAGUGGCCCCGAACGGUUAGCGCCAUGGUGUCCCAGUAUACCCCUCGCUGCCAGCCGGGACGCGGGCCCUGCCCCUCUUCGGGCAAGUGUUGCCCAAGAAAGCGCUUCGACCUGAAAGCCGGCCUUCUGCGCGGCGCCGCCACCCGUAGCUCUCAGAGAUAAAAUAUAAAGCGAGGGUCACCGGGGAGGGCCCCACCUCCCGCCCCCGACAGCACUGAGCAGCUGGUUCUUACUGAGCCCUGGGACACCUUUUCUGGAGCAAGGGACAUGGCCUUCAUUUGGUCUGAUUUUCUGAGUCUCUCAAACUGCUGCUGCAGGGUCCCUGGAGACAGCUCGUUUCUCCUGGAAGAAUCGCCAAAGUCAGCUUCAGCAGCUCACAAACGUCUUCAUUGCUCUGAGCACAGCGCUAGGCAUAGAAUUGGAUUCAGCUGAUACUUGCCACCUGGCUUAGAGAACAAGGACUCCAGCUCCAGCCCCAGCUGCGGCACCUGCUAGUUCUGUGACCUAGGGUAGAAGGGCUUACGAGCUCUCCUCCUGGAGCCUCACCACCGGGCCCCAGACCACCUGGGGCUCUGGAACGUUCCGUUCUUUUGGUGCAGAGCUGCGCAGGGUGCAUCUGGACUGAACUGUUUCCACCAGCUGUGGCGAGAGAAGGACAAACACUGACAGUGUUUAAAAACUGAUGUUGCUGUGACAUCCAAGCACAUAUGGUGUUUUAUCAUUUUUUUCCCAUUUCACUUUUCUAUUGUCAGUCUGUGAUGGACCAAGAAAAAAUAAAAACCAACCAGUCCUUCAUCACAGAUGGUUCGAGAAGCAUCAGUAUGGUAGCUAUGGAGUCAGAAAAGCUGGGCUUUAUGGCAGCUCCAUCUCUUGCUAGCUGGUUGACCGUAAUUAAAUUGCAUCAUCUCUCUGUGCCUUGGUGCCUUCACCUAUGAAAUGGGCAUAACAGUGCCCACCUGUGACGGCUGUGGGAUGUCAGUGAGGGAACACGGAUAAAGCACCCAGGGCGGUGAGUGUUGCAAAAGCGUUGAUUCUCAUUAUUACUACUGCUGGUAUCCGACAUGACUCAUUCAUUCGAUCGACAAAUAUUUACUGAGAGCCUGGUAUGUGCUAGCUCUUCUAGGAAUGGGGGAUUAAGAAAAGUGAUAAAAAUCCCCUCCUCUUAGUUUGUGUGGGGAGAGAUGAUGAAUGAACAAGUAAAACAAGUGGUAAGUCCGAUGGUGAUUUCUGUGGUGGAGAAAAAUAAAGCAGUGAUUCUGUG
rnacentral:lncRNA from 1 species